rnacentral:lncRNA from 1 species
AUUCAGUGACGGAAGGCUGCUGGGUGUAGUCAAGUACUUGACUUAUCGGUGCAUGUGUCAAGAUGGGAUUGACCACUCCAGUUCAGGAGCUGUGUACAGUCAUGUUUUAAUUUAGCAAAACCUUGGCCAGGGUAGUCCUAGUGAGGAGUCACAGGACUGUUUGAGUUGAGCACGAUUCGGAUGAUCUACUCAGGGUUGACAGUUUAACCCUGAGUCAUCCUAA